rnacentral:rRNA from 1 species
CCCUUAGAUGUUCUGGGCCGCACGCGUGCUACACUGAGUGGAUCAGCGGGUCAGGUUGCGCGAAAGUGUUUCCUAAUCUUGAAAUCCGCUCGUGAUGGGGAUUGGCGGUUGCAAUUUUCCGUCAUGAACGAGGAAUACCUUGUAAGCGCGGGUCAUCAUCCCGCGCUGAAUACGUCCCUGCCCUUUGUACACACCGCCCGUCGCUCCUACCGAUUGAGUGGUCCGGUGAGGCUUUGGGAUCUGAGCGGAAAGAGCGUUUCGCUGUUUCUGCCCGGAAAACUCAGUCGAACCUUAUCAUUUAGAGGAAGGAGAAGUCGUAACA